UACGUAGGUUGCGAGCGUUGUCCGGAUUUACUGGGCGUAAAGCGCGCGCAGGCGGUCCUGUAAGUCCGCGGUGAAAGCUCCCGGCCCAACUGGGAGAGGCCCGCGGAAACUACAGGACUUGAAGGCGGGAGAGGCAAAUGGAAUUUCCGGUGUAGCGGUAAAAUGCGUAGAUACCGGAAGGAACACCAGUGGCGAAAGCGAUUUGCUGGCCCGCCCUUGACGCUCAGGCGCGAAAGCUAGGGGAGCGACCGGG
rnacentral:rRNA from 1 species